UGACCACAUUAGACUGAAAGUA
rnacentral:miRNA from 1 species